rnacentral:rRNA from 1 species
AGUGAACGCUGGCGGUAGGCCUAACACAUGCAAGUCGAACGGCAGCACAGUAAGAGCUUGCUCUUACGGGUGGCGAGUGGCGGACGGGUGAGGAAUACAUCGGAAUCUACUUUUUCGUGGGGGAUAACGUAGGGAAACUUACGCUAAUACCGCAUACGACCUACGGGUGAAAGCAGGGGAUCUUCGGACCUUGCGCGAUUGAAUGAGCCGAUGUCGGAUUAGCUAGUUGGCGGGGUAAAGGCCCACCAAGGCGACGAUCCGUAGCUGGUCUGAGAGGAUGGUCAGCCACACUGGAACUGAGCCACGGUCCAGACUCCGACGGGCGGCAGAAGUGGGGAAUAUUGGACAAUGGGCGGAAGCCUGAACCAGCCAUACCGCGUGGGUGAAGAAGGCCUUCGGGUUGUAAAGCCCUUUUGUUGGGAAAGAAAAGCAGCAGGUUAAUACCCCGCUGUUCUGACGGUACCCAAAGAAUAAGCACCGGCUAACUUCGU